rnacentral:rRNA from 1 species
GAUGAACGCUGGCGGCGUGCCUAACACAUGCAAGUCGAGCGAGAAUCUUCUGAACGAACCUUCGGGUGAGUGAUGAAGAGGAGAGCGGCGGACGGGUGAGUAACGCGUGGGUAACCUGCCCUAUGGAGGGGGAUAACUAAGAGAAAUCUUAGCUAAUACCGCAUAAGCGCACAGCAUCGCAUGAUGCCGUGUGAAAAACUCCGGUGCCAUAGGAUGGACCCGCGUCAGAUUAGCUAGUUGGUGAGGUAACGGCUCACCAAGGCGACGAUCUGUAGCCGACCUGAGAGGGUGAUCGGCCACAUUGGGACUGAGACACGGCCCAAACUCCUACGGGAGGCAGCAGUGGGGGAUAUUGCACAAUGGGCGAAAGCCUGAUGCAGCAACGCCGCGUGAAGGAAGACGGUUUUCGGAUUGUAAACUUCUAUCAGCAGGGAAGAAAAAAGACGGUACCUGACUAAGAAGCCCCGGCUAACUACGUG